rnacentral:rRNA from 1 species
AGAGUUUGAUUAUGGCUCAGGAUGAACGCUGGCGGCGUGCUUAACACAUGCAAGUCGAACGGAGUUACAUGAAACCUAGUGAUUGUAAACUUAGUGGCGGACGGGUGAGUAACGCGUGGGUAACCUGCCUUAUCCAGGGGGAUAACAGUGAGAAAUUACUGCUAAUACCGCAUAAGCGCACAGAAUCGCAUGAUACAGUGUGAAAAAGAUUUAUCGGGAUAAGAUGGACCCGCGUCUGAUUAGCUAGUUGGUGAGGUAACGGCCCACCAAGGCGACGAUCAGUAGCCGGCCUGAGAGGGUGAACGGCCACAUUGGGACUGAGACACGGCCCAAACUCCUACGGGAGGCAGCAGUGGGGAAUAUUGCACAAUGGGGGAAACCCUGAUGCAAGCGACGCCGCGUGAGUGAUGAAGUAUUUCGGUAUGUAAAGCUCUAUCAGCAGGGAAGAAAAUGACGGUACCUGACUAAGAAGCCCCGGCUAACUACGUGCCAGCAGCAGC